UACGGAGGGUGCAAGCGUUAAUCGGAAUUACUGGGCGUAAAGCGCACGCAGGUGGCUGAGUCAGUCGAUUGUGAAAGCCCUGGGCUUAACCUGGGAAUUGCAGUCGAUACUACUCAGCUAGAGUAUGGGAGAGGGUAGUGGAACUCCGAGUGUAGAGGUGAAAUUCGUAGAUAUUCGGAAGAACACCAGUGGCGAAGGCGGCUCUCUGGGCCCUACCUGACGCUGAGACGCGAAAGCGUGGGGAGCGAACCGG
rnacentral:rRNA from 1 species